rnacentral:rRNA from 1 species
UGGGGAAUUUUGGACAAUGGGCGCAAGCCUGAUCCGGCCAUGCCGCGUGCGGGAAGAAGGCCUUCGGGUUGCAAACCGCUUUUGUCAGGGAAGAAAUCUUCUGAGUUAAUACCUCGGGAGGAUGACGGUACCUGAAGAAUAAGCACCGGCUAACUACGUGCCAGCAGCCGCGGUAAUACGUAGGGUGCAAGCGUUAAUCGGAAUUACUGGGCGUAAAGCGUGCGCAGGCGGUUUUGUAAGACAGAGGUGAAAUCCCCGGGCUCAACCUGGGAACUGCCUUUGUGACUGCAAGGCUUGAGUGCGGCAGAGGGGGAUGGAAUUCCGCGUGUAGCAGUGAAAUGCGUAGAUAUGCGGAGGAACACCGAUGGCGAAGGCAAUCCCCUGGGCCUGCACUGACGCUCAUGCACGAAAGCGUGGGGAGCAAACAGGAUUAGAUACCCUGGUAGUCCACGCCCUAAACGAUGUCAACUGGUUGUUGGGAAGGUUCCUUCUCAGUAACGUAGCUAACGCGUGAAGUUGACCGCCUGGGGAGUACGGCCGCAAGGUUG